UCGCGGGAUAGAGCAGUAGGUAGCUCGUCGGGCUCAUAACCCGAAGGUCACUGGUUCGAGUCCAGUUCCCGCUACUAA
rnacentral:tRNA from 1 species